GUCCAGGGGCGGGAAUCGAACCCACAACUUUCUGCUUACCGGGCAGGUGCCAUGUCCACUAGGCUACCCUGGA
rnacentral:tRNA from 1 species